rnacentral:rRNA from 1 species
UACGGAGGAUGCGAGCGUUAUCCGGAUUUAUUGGGUUUAAAGGGUGCGUAGGCGGGAUGCCAAGUCAGCGGUAAAAAUGCGGUGCUCAACGCCGUCGAGCCGUUGAAACUGGCGUUCUUGAGUGGGCGAGAAGUAUGCGGAAUGCGUGGUAUAGCGGUGAAAUGCAUAGAUAUCACGCAGAACUCCGAUUGCGAAGGCGGCAUACCGGCGCCCUACUGACGCUGAGGCACGAAAGCGUGGGUAUCGAACAGG